rnacentral:lncRNA from 1 species
UUCUAGCAUCGACCAGAGUAAUAAACAAAGCCAUGUCCCAUAGAGGGUAUCAUGGUCACACAUGUAAGGUUGGGAUGAUCGACAAAUCUUAAAUCUGAUCCUGUUUCCGGAACAAACACACGAAAAACCUUUGUCGGUACACCACUUAUUCCUCACGUGGUCACAUAUCUCACCACCAUCACCCACGGGCAUUAGGGGCACCCGACGGGGUUUUCGAGAAAGCCUUUGAAAACAUUUCCUUCGUCGUCAACAUGCAUAUUCCCAUACCUUUUUGUGUAGCAACCACUAGCAACUAACUACAUCCCAUAUGCA